CCAGAGCUGUCAAAUACUGCGCACAGCUUUCAGUCUUCAGUCAGAGGAGAAACCAGACUAAUCCAUCAGACGAACAACUCGGAAGAUUAACCAUUUUUUAAUCAAAACUAGUUUUUGCCUCUGCACCCGGAAGCCUGAUUUUUUUUUAAACAAUCAUGAUCAUUUUGUCACAUGGCUUAGGAGAUUUCAAUAACAACAAAAAAUGGCGACAAUCACGUUGCUCUGUGUGGUCUUGCUGCGUCAUUAAAAAUAUUCAUGUAAACACGGGGAAUUAAACGGGAGAUUCGCAGCACAUGCUCCUUUAUUGUCCAUAUAUGACAUGAAUUUGUUGGCCAGCGUCCUGUGCAGCGAGACGGGAGCGGGGCUAAUGGAGUUGUUUACAUGAAGUGCGGAGGGCGGACUGGCGAGGGGGAGGAGCCGCUACGUCGGCGCGCGACGCGACCGGACUGCUCUAGAGGCUUCUCGCGCCGAGGGGGGCGGAGCCCAGGAAAGAAUCAUAACAAGUCUGACGUCACUUGGCCUUGUGGUUGGUAUGAAUUAUGUAGUUUCUUUUUUACCAAGCCCUAACAGGAAAGGAGAAAAAAAAUCUCUGUGGCAUACCAGUAAUUGUUUUAUGAGAUGAUAUUGAAACAUUGAUGGUCUUUCGUUUGGGGGGAUCUGCAGGAGAGCAGCAGAAUCUCAAGGAAAACACAAAACAACAAAGACUAUGAUAUUGAUAAAGAGUGAAUAGCAUGCAUGAUGAUAUAAUAAAUAAAAGUGAUAUGAUAAAAAUUGGCAAGAGCAUGUUCAUAAGCAGCAGCUUGCUACCAAACAUUUUCCAAAUUUUGCAGCCUGCAGUAAUCAUGUGCACACAGGUGGGCUUAUUGCAUCCAGUUCAAGGGCACAUGUGCAAGUUGUGCAAAAGCAAAUGUACAUUAUUAACUGUCCACCUCUCAGACUCACAUUUGGGGCUAACAUGAACAGAAUGCAAUCAUAUAAAAAUGUUUUAGCCUUCAAUGUUUUCAUUUGUUCUUAAUGUUUGACAGUAUGAAAACAGUUCAUUGUUAAUAAAUAUUUUCCUUUGUGGUUCACAACAUUUGAUCUUUGCAGAAGAACGUAACCACUUCAUGAUGAUAAUUGCAUACAGUUAUUCAGCUACAGUAUGUUAUCGUAAUAAUGUCUUGUCAAAACGUCAUUAUGAAUUCCAUACAUCCACAAGCACAUUGUUCAUUAUAAAAAGUGCUCUAGUGUCUAAUUUGCAAGAUGCAAAGCAACAAUUCAACAUUUUUUUAAUCGAUUGUGACCAUUGCUUCCAUGCGUUCCUCUGAACUAGUUGGCCCAUGUUUUAAUAAGUCUCUGCAGUAAUUGCAGAAAUAAUACUCCGGAUAAGCCUUUUCCACUUUGCCUAUAUUAAUGGCAAAAAUCAUGCACACUUAAUUUCACACUGAUCAGAUCCCUUAAAUUUCCAUAGUCUGCAGUUCCUUUAAUUGGCAUGAUCAUGAUAUAACAUCAUGUGGGAGCUUCGUCUUUUUCUCUUUUAAGUCCCUGCACUUGCUGUGGAGUCACUGAUACCAAAUCUAGACUUCUCUGCCUAUACAGAUAAAACUGUUGGAACAUGGAGAAAGGCUGGCUAAUCCAGAUUUUUUGAGCCUGCUGUGACUGAAUCAUCACCACCUUUCUCUAAUUUGCUCAGAUUUUCCAGCCUCCGGCUCCCCUGGGCUGGCCAUAUACGUUUGUUUUGAUCACCUAAUGAAAAUGAUAGAAUAUGUUGUAUCUUUUUCGUUUGAUUUAACUCCACCGGUUUGUUUUUAUCGUCAAAGCUCCUCAGUGAGCUCCGGGCAAUGAUGGUGACCGUAGGCUGGGAAGAUAUCAUAUUUUGUCUGUGGACCUUAGCAUGUUAUAUUAUUUGGUGUACCAAUUGUGGAUGAGUUAUAUGAGCACAAAUGAAACACUGAAUGUACCACCACCUGAGACUUACCAAAUAGGGGAAAGCCUGUGUGUUGUUCACCUGCUGACCUGGCAGAGUGAAUAUGGACGGAUGUCGGAUGUCACCAGCAGACACACAGUGGAGAGAAGCCACGGACUGCUAGAUUUGACAGGCUGCCCUGGUUCAGUUAUCACAGUGCUGAUGCUGUCCCCAUCGAAGGUACAGUACUGUGAUAACUGAAGGAUGGCUGCCACCUUGACACUAGAACAGUGGAUCGAGGCGUGUUCAGCAAACGUGCAAAGGACGAAAAAGCAGGUGGAGAUCUAUGGGCAUGUGUUGGAACAGUGAAAAUACAUUGAAAAAAGAAGUUUCCCGUAUAUACAGUAUGUCUUCCUUUGUGUAUUCUCCAUCAGAGCAGUGGAUAUGGCAUGUUCAGUGAUGAAACGUUUUGACUGUUGUGUGCUGAAACACAACAUGACAGUAAAAACCUAUAAGGUAAUAUUGCAUUGAAUCAUAUUGUAUUUUCUACUUUUCUACAGUAUAAUAAAAUAAUACAUAAAAUGUC